rnacentral:rRNA from 1 species
UACGUAGGGGGCAAGCGUUGUCCGGAUUUAUUGGGCGUAAAGAGCGUGUAGGCGGCUAGAUAGGUCCGUUGUGAAAACUCGAGGCUCAACCUCGAGACGCCGGUGGAAACCAUCUAGCUAGAGUCCGGAAGAGGAGAGUGGAAUUCCCGGUGUAGCGGUGAAAUGCGCAGAUAUCGGGAGGAACACCGGUGGCGAAGGCGGUUCUCUGGGCCUUACCUGACGCUGAGGAGCGAAAGCGUGGGGAGCGAACAGG